rnacentral:tmRNA from 1 species
CCGCUUAAACACCGGUGAGCCUCUCAACGGUUGGCCGAUGGGCCGGGCCGGCGCCGCAAGGCAAGGGCUGAGAGGUCAUUCACAUCGGCUGGGUGCCGGCCAUGUCGCUGGGCAGGCACCGAGACUCAGCGAAUCGGGGCUCGGGUAGCGUGCUGCUGCGCGACCCGGGCCCUCAAAUCCAAAUCAGACAGCUACGCAUGUAGAACCGUCCGGCGAAGGCUUGCGGACGGGGGUUCGAUUCCCCCCGGUUCCACCA